CCUGACCCCCAAAGGCGGAAAGAUAGCUGAACCGAGACCUUCAGGAUCACCAUCGGCGUUAGUGGAACUGCAUCACAUCGGCCUCUUCUUCUUCGUCUUCAGCUGAGAUUAACAUCAAUAAAAUAAUUUCUUUCCAGUUUUGCAUACCCCUGAGGGCAGUAGCCCAUUCCUUGAUGGGUAUACACAUCAGGCCCUGACCCCCAAAGGCGGAAAGAUAGCUGAGCUGAGAUCUUCAGGAUCGACAUCGGCGUUAGUGGAACUGCAUCACAUUGGUCUCUUCUUCUUCGCCUUCAGCUGAAAUUAACAUCAAUAAAAUAAUUUUGCAUACCCCUGAGGGCAGUAGCCCAUUCCUUGAUGGGUAUACACAUCAGGCCCUGACCCCCAAAGGCGGAAAGAUAGCUGAGCCGAGACUAUCAGGAUCAACCUCGGCGUGGACGGAUCACAUCUGCUUCUUC